UGCCAGACUCCUACGGGAGGCAGCAGUGGGGAAUAUUGGGCAAUGGGCGAAAGCCUGACCCAGCAACGCCGCGUGAAGGAAGAAGGCUUUCGGGUUGUAAACUUCUUUUGACAGGGAAGAGCAGAAGACGGUACCUGUCGAAUAAGCCACGGCUAACUACGUGCCAGCAGCCGCGGUAAUACGUAGGUGGCAAGCGUUAUCCGGAAUUACUGGGCGUAAAGCGCUCGUAGGCGGUAUGUCAAGUCAAGGGUGAAAUCCCCGCGCUCAACGUGGGAACUGCCUUUGAAACUGGCAAACUGGAGUGUGUGAGAGGAUAGUGGAAUUCCAGGUGUAGGAGUGAAAUCCGUAGAUAUCUGGAGGAACAUCAGUGGCGAAGGCGACUAUCUGGCACAUAACUGACGCUGAGGAGCGAAAGCGUGGGUAGCAAACAGGAUUAGAUACCCGAGUA
rnacentral:rRNA from 1 species